AUGCAUGGAGCUGACAGUAAGGAGGUGAGGAAGCUUUCAGACAAGCUGAAUGAACUCUUAUAUAAAGAGGAAAUGCUUUGGUUGCAUCGCUCUAGAGUUAACUGGCUAAAAGAGGGGGACUGUAAUACAAAUAGUUUCCAUUGGAAAGCAAUGUGGCGUGCAAAAAAGAACAAAAUCGUGAAACUUCAGAAGGAUGAUGGCAGCUGGGCAUCCUCACAGGCUGAGCUCGAAGGGAUGGCCACACAAUUCUUUCAGAAUCUCUUCUCGCGGGACCCCAAUCUGAACCCAAGUGACAUCGUCAAUUUGUUUGAAAAAAAAGGUCUCUGA
rnacentral:rRNA from 1 species